GACGAACGCUGGCGGCAUGCUUAACACAUGCAAGUCGAACGGUAAGGCCCUUCGGGGUACACGAGUGGCGAACGGGUGAGUAACACGUGGGUGAUCUGCCCUGCACUUCGGGAUAAGCCUGGGAAACUGGGUCUAAUACCGGAUAGGACUCCGGACUGCAUGGUCUGGGGUGGAAAGCUUUUGCGGUGUGGGAUGGGCCCGCGGCCUAUCAGCUUGGUGGUGGGGUGAUGGCCUACCAAGGCGACGACGGGUAGCCGGCCUGAGAGGGUGACCGGCCACACUGGGACUGGGAUACGGCCCAGACUCCUACGGGAGGCAGCAGUGGGGAAUAUUGCACAAUGGGCGCAAGCCUGAUGCAGCGACGCCGCGUGAGGGAUGACGGCCUUCGGGUUGUAAACCUCUUUCAGCAUCGACGAAGCGAAAGUGACGGUAGGUGCAGAAGAAGGACCGGCCAACUACGUGCCAGCAGCCGCCGUAA
rnacentral:rRNA from 1 species